AACUGCGAGUGAAGCGGGAAAAGCUCAAAUUUAAAAUCUGGUGGUUUUGCCAUCCGAGUUGUAAUCUGGAGAAGCGUUUUCUGUGCUGGACCGUGUACAAGUCUCUUGGAACAGAGCGUCAUAGAGGGUGAGAAUCCCGUCCAUGACACGGACACCCAGUGCUAUGUGAUACGUUUUCAAAGAGUCGAGUUGUUUGGGAAUGCAGCUCAAAAUGGGUGGUAAGCUCCAUCUAAAGCUAAAUAUUGGCGAGAGACCGAUAGCGAACAAGUACCGUGAGGGAAAGAUGAAAAGCACUUUGGAAAGAGAGUUAAACAGUACGUGAAAUUGUUGAAAGGGAAACGCUUGAAGUUAGUCGCGUCUUACUUGACUCAGCCUUGCUUCGGCUUGGUGUAUUUCAUGUGAGACGGGUCAACAUCGAUUUUGACCGGCAGACAAGGGGAGUAAGAAUGUGGCACUCUUCGGAGUGUGUUAUAGCUUAUUCUCAUAUGUGUCGGUUGGGAUCGAGGACCGCAGCGCGCCCUUGUGGCCGGAGGUUCGCCUCACGUUACGCGCUUAGGAUGUUGGCAUAAUGGCUUUAAGCGACCCGUCUUGAAACACGGACCAAGGAGUCUAACAUGCUCGCGAGUGUUAGGGUGGAAAACCCUUGCGCAGAAUGAAAGUAAAAGUUGGGAACCUCCGCAAGGGGGCGCACCGACGCCCGGCCCAGAAGUUUACGGACGGUGCUGCGGUAGAGCGCGUAUGUUGGGACCCGAAAGAUGGUGAACUAUGCCUGAAUAGGGCGAAGCCAGGGGAAACCCUGUGUGGAGGCUCGUAGCGAUUCUGACGUGCAAAUCGAUCGUCAAA
rnacentral:rRNA from 1 species